GUCAUGGUAUUCAUUUCUAAAUAAUUUUCUUUCAUGAUAUUUAGGAUGCUGCCUUAUAUGUGUUUCAUCAUUUUUCUGACUCAGUAAGUUUGGAACAGAUGAAGGAAAGUGAGUGUUAAGUUUGGGAAUAAAAGCAGAGGGCAGUAAGGUCUGCCCUGACUUGGACUUCCAUGUCUGUCCUGCCUUCACAGGAGAUGAUCUGAGUGUCUCCAUCUUGCUCUGCAAUACAGAGAACAUCACAGAGGACCACAUGGAUGCCCUUCAAGAAUUAAGUUGACAAUAAACAAUUCUGAUUUUUGAUCAA